UACGUAGGUGGCAAGCGUUGUCCGGAUUUACUGGGCGUAAAGGGCGCGUAGGCGGUCAGCACAAGUCAGUUGUGAAAUCUCCGAGCUUAACUCGGAAAGGUCAACUGAUACUGUGCGACUAGAGUGCAGAAGGGGCAACUGGAAUUCUCGGUGUAGCGGUGAAAUGCGUAGAUAUCGAGAGGAACACCUGCGGCGAAGGCGGGUUGCUGGGCUGACACUGACGCUGAUGCGCGAAAGCUAGGGGAGCGAACGGG
rnacentral:rRNA from 1 species